rnacentral:lncRNA from 1 species
AGGAGCCAUCAAUAGCAGUAGCAUGGAUUAGUUUACCAGACUUGCCGCCUAAUUUCUUUGCUAGAGAAGCUGUCUUCUCACUAGCCUCUGCAAUUGGAAAACCAUUAACAGUAGAUAUGGCGACACAAAACAAGACUAGACCUAGUUGUGCAAAGGUUAAAGUGGAGGUAGAUUUAUUAGCACAACAUCCACAGAGGAUUAAAAUUGCAGAAGAGGAUGAAGUCACAGGAAAAGUAAAUUCUAAAUGGAUCACAAUCAAGUAUGACUAUUUGCCAAAAUAUUGCAGUCAUUGUAAGCUACAGGGACAUAGAGAAACUGAAUGUCGUGCAUUACACCCUGGAAAGGCAAUUUAGAGAAAACCUUGAGGAAAAUAAGGACAAACUGGGAACAACAGCAACUCAGACCAAAAUACUAAGUAGUGGUAAAGUUGUUGGUAACACACAAAGAAAGCAGGAAUGGAUGCAGCGAAGAAAUAAAUAUGCAAAAGAUAAAAGGGGAAGGAUAAUAGAGAUGUACAAUGUCAAAAAUAAAGUGGAAGCUGAAAAACUUACCGAAGGAGUCAGCACUAAUAAUGCCUUUGCAACUCUGCUAAACAAUGACAAAUUAGAUGAUACAAGGGAUGCUACAAGUGCAACAAAGGGGACCAAGGAGACUGAAGAGAACAAGGACAGGGAAGAAGAACUUAGCAGCAACAAAUCUGAAGAAGAAAGAGACAUCAACAAGCAAAUGGGAACAAGGCAAUGGGUGGAUAUUAAUUUUAAAAAAGACAAAGGGACAGAGGAGAAUCAGAUAACUUAACCACAAGUUAGUUCUAACAGUAAACAUGAUGUAGGCAGUGAAACAC